rnacentral:rRNA from 1 species
CAGUAGCCACGGUAAUACAGAGGGUGCGAGCGUUAAUCGGAUUUACUGGGCGUAAAGCGUGCGUAGGCGGCUUCUUAAGUCGGAUGUGAAAUCCCUGAGCUUAACUUAGGAAUUGCAUUCGAUACUGGGAAGCUAGAGUAUGGGAGAGGAUGGUAGAAUUCCAGGUGUAGCGGUGAAAUGCGUAGAGAUCUGGAGGAAUACCGAUGGCGAAGGCAGCCAUCUGGCCUAAUACUGACGCUGAGGUACGAAAGCAUGGGGAGCAAACAGGAUUAGAUACCCGUGUAGUCCCUGUCUCUUUACA